rnacentral:snRNA from 1 species
GGAUGUUAGGGUGAUCUGUCUGCAAAUCCAUCACCCAUUGAUCAGCGGGGCUGAUUUGGCAGAUCUGUCGGGCAAGCGAUUGUCCCCUCCUUCCCUCAAUGUUCCAUGUGCAUCCUUCCCAAAGCUGCGUGCUUGGAAAAGGACGGCAGCCCCCAGUAGAGAAGGAACAUGCAUUGAUCAAGAGUAUGGUACUGGCUCUUCUCCUUCUGUGAUAAUCUUCAAACAACUCUCAAAGUAGCUACAUAAUCAAAAGAGAUUAUAUAUCUUUGAAAGUUAAAGUUUAUUACAUACACACUAUGUGCCAAGCAUUUUU